rnacentral:lncRNA from 1 species
GCGGGCGUGGUGCCUGUCACUAUCGUGACACUACAGGACGAGGAGGAACUGGCCUUCUACAAGGGGUGCUACGGAGAUAGUUCUGACAAAAAUUUCUCAGAGGUGUACCCACCCCAGUGUGUGCCACCCUCAGGAGCCCCUGGCAGGACCAAGACUCAGGGUCCUCAUUGUGGGCCUCUGCAGCUUGUGGAAGGACUUACUUUAGAUCAAGAUUUACCUUAGACCAAGACCCCUCCGAGGCCCUCACCCCACAACCAAGACAACCUUCCAGGGUUUUGGAGCCAGAAGGGGUGGAAAAGUCAAGAUUCAGCCUUUGAAACUCCAUCUUUCCAACCUUGCUGCCCUUACCUCAGCCUGGCCCUCUCCUUUUCGAGGCAGCUGCCAGUGGGGGAAUUGGAACAUCAAGGCAGAAUGGGUUUUUUGACCCAACCACGGGCAUGUGGAGCCACCAUAUAAAGAAGUCCAGGCUAUACUCCUAGAGGCCACAUGCAAGAGAACUGAGGCAUCCCAGCUGACAGCCAGCACCAACUGCCGGGCAUGUGAGUGAACUUUCCUAGAAUACGACCCUCCAGCUCCCAUCAAUCAAGACUGAAGAUGAUAUAGCCCUGGACAGUGCGGCUUGACUGCAGCCUCAUGAGACACCCAGAGUCAGACCACCCAGCUAAGCUGCUCCUGGAUUUCUGACCCUCAGAAACUAUGAUACAAUAAAUAUUUGUUGCAAGCCAC